rnacentral:lncRNA from 1 species
GGACAUCUACCAACUUAAGAUCCUGGCCCUAUUUGAUUGGACUCCUGGUACAUCAGUGGAACUUCUCAUGGUAAUUAACCAUGAUUACAAUGACAUUUGUGACUUAUGAAUGGAAUCAACAGAAAGAAGGCAACAUUUGGGAGAGGAAAAAGAAGAUUGUCUUCAUGUAUCUUCUGCUCCAUCUUAAAUGAAUUUCCUAAUUAUUGCUCUCAUCCCACCAGUCCUUGACUGUUCAUUUGACUUUUUAAAUCAUUACUCUUCACUGAAGUCUUGCAAAAAGCUGCAAUCCUUUGGAUUAAAGCCUCUUUACUGUUCUCACUGAGGUAUGGAGGUAAAGAAAAUCACAGACCUGGAUUCAAAUCUUGCCUCUAACACAUAUCAGGUAUGCAACUGACCCGAGGCAAAUAAUGUCAACUCUUAGCUCCUCUGAG